GAUGAACGUUGGCGGUGUGCCUAAUACAUGCAAGUCGAACGGAGUUAAUAGCAAUAUUGACUUAGUGGCGAACGGGUGAGUAACGCGUUGGUGAUCUGCCUUGAAGUGUGGAAUAACGCUCCGAAAGGAGCGCUAAUACCGCAUGUGCUCUCAAUUUUUAGAAACUUGAGAGGAAAGGAUUUAUUCGCUUCGAGAGGAGCCUGCGUCCCAUCAGCUGGUUGGUAGGGUAAAGGCCUACCAAGGCAAUGACGGGUAGGGGACCUGAGAGGGUGGCCCCCCACAAUGGAACUGAAACACGGUCCAUACACCUACGGGUGGCAGCAGUAGGGAAUAUUAGAAAUGGACGAAAGUCUGAUCUAGCAACACCGCGUGUGCGAAGAAGGCCUUCGGGUCGUAAAGCACUUUUUGGAAGGAAUAGGAAGGAAUGUACUUCCAGAAUAAAGUCUCGGCUAACUACGUG
rnacentral:rRNA from 1 species